rnacentral:misc_RNA from 1 species
UACGGGGGGGGCGAGCGUUGUUCGGAUUUACUGGGCGUAAAGGGCUCGUAGGCGGCCACUUAAGUCGGUUGUGAAAUCCCCCGGCUUAACCGGGGAAUUGCGUCCGAUACUGGGUGGCUUGAAGCCGGGAGAGGGAUGCGGAAUUCCAGGUGUAGCGGUGAAAUGCGUAGAUAUCUGGAGGAACAUUCGUGGCGAAGGCGGCAUCCUGGACCGGUCUUGACGCUGAGGAGCGAAAGCUAGGGUAGCAAACGGG